AUCCGGACGGUAGAAUUCAAAGCUAACGGCUUUCACGAGUCGCUAGUUUGAUAUUUCUAUCGUCGACUAUGGACGUCGCGACCCGUUUGACGUUGGUCUAGGAACUACGUUAGAGUUCGUUUUGUGCGGCGGCGUUAAUAGCGUUUGUUGUACUCGAAUGAAUUCGUAGAUUUCCGGCCAUCUUGUUGAACGGUAUGCGUAUCGGUGACUGUCGUUUUGCUUAAUCACAUUACGUACAGUGCCGGUCUGCGACGAUUUUUCGGGUUUCUUUCCGACCCGUCUUGAAACACGGACCAAGGAGUCUAACGUGCACGCGAGUCGCGGGGUGUCGGGUGAUGCGCGUUAAAACGUGUCACUCGUUAUCUAAGCGAAACCCGUGAAAUUAGAAGGCGUAAUGAAAGUAAAUGGGGAAGAUGGUGACCGAGUGUUUGGUUUACGCCGAACCCGGUCGCCCGCACUCCCAGGGCGUCUCAACGGUCCGGUCGUGCGNAGCUUGCUGCGUGCAAUCGAACCGAGGCGCACCUAUAGCGUGCCCGUUGGUACCCGAAAGAUGGUGAACUAUGCCUGGCCAGGAUGAAGUCAGGGGAAACCCUGAUGGAGGUCCGCAGCGAUUCUGACGUGCAAAUCGAUCGUCUGAGCUGGGUAUAGGGGCGAAAGACUAAUCGAACCAUCUAGUAGCUGGUU
rnacentral:rRNA from 1 species